rnacentral:rRNA from 1 species
GAUUGGUUACCUUGUUACGACUUUUAGUUCCUCUAAAUGACCAAGUUUGACCAACUUCUCAACAGCUAAAAGGUGUUGCCACCAACAAACCGUCAAUCCGGAGGUCUCACUAAGCCAUUCAAUCGGUACUAGCGACGGGCGGUGUGUACAAAGGGCAGGGACGUAAUCAACGCGAGCUGAUGACUCACGCUUACUAGGAAUUCCUCGUUCAAGUCCAAUAAUUGCAAAGGACUAUCCCCAGCACGAUAAAGUUUCAAAAGAUUACCCAGACCUUCCGGCCAAGGUUAAUUACUCGUUGCCUUUAUCAGUGUAGCGCGCGUGCGGCCCAUAACAUCUAAGGGCAUCACAGACCUGUUAUUGCCUCAAACUUCCAUGGAUUAAAAAUCCAUAGUCCCUCUAAGAAGUUAAGCGCCAACCAGAGUUAGCGUAACUAUUUAGCAGGU